UCCUUGGUGGCUCAGAGGGUAAAGAAUCUGCCUGUCAUGCAGAAGACCCAGGUUCAGUCCCUGGGUCAGGAA
rnacentral:tRNA from 1 species